UGAGGAAUAUUGGUCAAUGGACGAGAGUCUGAACCAGCCAAGUAGCGUGAAGGAUGACUGCCCUAUGGGUUGUAAACUUCUUUUAUACGGGAAUAAAGUGAGGUACGUGUGCCUUUUUGUAUGUACCGUAUGAAUAAGGAUCGGCUAACUCCGUGCCAGCAGCCGCGGUAAUACGGAGGAUCCGAGCGUUAUCCGGAUUUAUUGGGUUUAAAGGGAGCGUAGGCGGACGCUUAAGUCAGUUGUGAAAGUUUGCGGCUCAACCGUAAAAUUGCAGUUGAUACUGGGUGUCUUGAGUACAGUAGAGGCAGGCGGAAUUCGUGGUGUAGCGGUGAAAUGCUUAGACAUCACGAAGAACUCCGAUUGCGAAGGCAGCCUGCUGGACUGUAACUGACGCUGAUGCUCGAAAGUGUGGGUAUCAAACAGGAUUAGAUACCCUGGUAGUCCACACAGUAAACGAUGAAUACUCGCUGUUUGCGAUAUACAGUAAGCGGCCAAGCGAAAGCGUUAAGUAUUCCACCUGGGGAGUACGCCGGCAACGGUGAAACUCAAAGGAAUUGACGGGGGCCCGCACAAGCGGAGGAACAUGUGGUUUAAUUCGAUGAUACGCGAGGAACCUUACCCGGGCUUGAAUUGCAACUGAAUGAUGUGGAGACAUGUCAGCCGCAAGGCAGUUGUGAAGGUGCUGCAUGGUUGUCGUCAGCUCGUGCCGUGAGGUGUCGGCUUAAGUGCCAUAACGAGCGCAACCCUUAUCGAUAGUUACCAUCAGGUUAUGCUGGGGACUCUGUCGAGACUGCCGUCGUAAGAUGUGAGGAAGGUGGGGAUGACGUCAAAUCAGCACGGCCCUUACGUCCGGGGCUACACACGUGUUACAAUGGGGGGUACAGAAGGCAGCUACACGGCGACGUGAUGCUAAUCCCGAAAGCCUCUCUCAGUUCGGAUUGGAGUCUGCAACCCGACUCCAUGAAGCUGGAUUCGCUAGUAAUCGCGCAUCAGCCACGGCGCGGUGAAUACGUUCCC
rnacentral:rRNA from 1 species